ACACGACUACAUUAGAUACCCCCGUAGUCCAGGGUGUAAACGCUGCGGGCUUGGUGUUGGGGGUCCUUUGAGGGCGCCCAGUGCCGGAGAGAAGUUGUUAAGCCUGCUGCUUGGGGAGUACGUCCGCAAGGAUGAAACUUAAAGGAAUUGGCGGGGGAGCACCACAACGGGUGGAGCUUGCGGUUUAAUUGGAUUCAACGCCGGAAAUCUUACCGGGACCGACAGCAACAUGAAGGCCAGGCUGAAGACUUUGCCGGAUUAGCUG
rnacentral:rRNA from 1 species